AACCUGAGAAGUCUGUGCUCAAAGUCUGAAUAAAGUCAGAAUUGUAUUGAAGUGUUUAAGAUAAAUAAGGAGCAGAAAAAAGGCAAAAUUGUGUUUGGAAAACAUCAAGAGGGAAGACCACAUUUGGGGGACUACAGGAACCAAAAUACGGAGUUUGAAUGUUUUUCCUAAGCACAAUGGAACCUGUGGAAGAUUUUUAGCAGUAUUCGCAAAAAAGCUCUUACAAUAUUCCAUUCUGUGAGAAGUUUCGACCAAAAAGUGAGUGUAACUCUGAUAACACUUAUUUAUAGAGCAGUUGGCUUUGAUGAACAAUGAACUGUUACUUGAUUUUACUCUUGGUUCAAGGACAUCCACAAGUGCUGUCAAAUUGAAAGCACACAAGUCACCUUCCUAAAGAGCAGGAAAAGGGAAAAUUAGGUGAAAAAAACCUCAUCUUUUAUUAGAAGUCUUCUUUGAGGGAAACACUAAUUUUCAUCGUGAAUAUCAUUCAGCUGGAGGUGGCAUUGAAGAUUUAAUUUGGAAAGAUGUCAAGAAAACAAAGGAUUUCUCUCUGACCUCCUUUCCCCAAUGGAAAAGAUGAUAUCACUUCGAAGUUUCUUCUAAAACAAAGAAUAACUUUUCAAAAGUUUCCUUUGAAAUUGGAGUCAGUAAAGCUGAACAAAAAUAUCAUAAACACACCUAAUCUUUGUCCACUUCCCAAGCCUGUCCCAAUUUCUGAUGAAUGCUACACUCAGAACCAUUUCUCAUAUAAAGAGAACAUUUGCUAUUUAUUGGAAAAAGUUCCAUUUUUUUGACAAUGUACUGUAAUUCCUUGGGAGUAGGCUCCUAAAUUGUCAAUCUUGGCAUAUGAAAAAUUCAAACGAAUUAACAAUAAAAUUGUUAUAUUAGUCUGUUCUCACACUGCUGUGAAGAAACAUCAGAGACUGGGUAACUUAGAAAGGAAAGAGGUUUACAUGACUCACAGUUCUGCGUUGCUGGGGAGGCCUCAGAAACUUACAAUAAUGGCAGAAGGCAAAACAGAAGCAGGCACCUUACUCACAGUGCAGCAGGAUGGAAUAAGUGCAAGCAAGGGAUACGCUGGAUGCUUAUAAAACCAUCAGAUCUCCUGAGAACUCACUCACUAUCAUGAGAACAGCAUGGGGGAACCGCCACCAUCAUCCAAUUACCUCCACCUGUUCCCGCCCUUGACACAUGGAGAUUAUGGGGAUUACAAAUCAAGGUAAGAUUUGGGUGGGGACCCAAAGCCAAACAAUUAUAUAAACAAAGAAAUGGAAUUUUUCAGAUUAUUUUCUUCAAUUAAAUUAUAUAAAGUAUAUGAAGAGAAGAAUAUGCUAUAUCUUAUUUUCAGGAUAAGUCUACAAUAUUCAUUUUAUAAAUUAAAGAGUUAAUGUUUUCAUUCAAAUUGUCAUAACAAUCCAAAUAUAGGCUACCAAGAAAUAAACCUAAUAACAUAUAAGCAAGAGUUUAGCCAACACACACAGACACACACACACACACACAAAGACACACACACACACAUUAAUAAAACACAUGGAGGAAGAUGCAGAUUUGUGGAGAAACAUGCCAUGUUAAUAGUUGUUAAGAGAGAUACAGUAAUAAUAUUGAUAUCACCAAAUUGAUUUGUAUAUUAAGCAUAAUUUCAAUAAUUCCAGUAUAUAUGGAAGAACAAAUAACCAGGGAGAAUCAUGACAACGUAAAGAAUAAGAUUUCAGAAGGGAGACUUGCCCCAUAGGAUUUAUUCAUGUCCAUUACACAGAUCAAUCCCAAAUGGAUAAAUAAUAUAAUUAUAAAAUGAUUUCUAGGAGAAUGUCAAAGUAUCUUUAGGGGAGAG
rnacentral:lncRNA from 1 species